CAGUGUUGUCCUACGCGAUCUUCUUCUCGACUGUGAUGGGGCCAAUCAUAUUUGUUUAUAGCUCAAAGAUCUUCUUGCUAAGUCUGCAUCUACAGGGUACGCAAUCGACGUUGCCUUGAACUGAGUGGUGUUCUUCUACAUGAUAAUGUCGGAAACGGCAGGGGCGGAUGCGGUAGGAGAUGGGUCAGUUUUUUGGUAAAUACACCAAGUGGAGGUCUGUUGCGAGGGAGAUAGAGCUGCAAAGGAACAGUGGGGUCCACGGUGAUGGAUGGAGGCAGUUGCGAGUGACAAUUAGGGAAAUAAUUAUAAGGUAACGGGUAUCUAGUAAAAAUGGAUGGCUUUGUAAGGUAUUUAGAGUAUUUAUACACAAUAUGAAUAUAGUAAUCUAUGCUAAUGUGGAUGAGGACAAAAAAGAAUUAUAAUGAUGAAUUUUCAAUGAGGAUAAGUAGACAAAAAUUUCUUAGGAAA